rnacentral:rRNA from 1 species
AGUCAAGUGAAUAAGCGCAUACGGCGGAUGCCUUGGCGACAAGAGGCGAUGAAGGACGUAACAGGCUGCGAUAAGCCUCGGGGAGCUGCCAAAUAAGCUUUGAUCCGAGGAUGUCCGAAUGGGGAAACCCAAUCACUUUUAGUGAUUAUCAUGCACUGAAUACAUAGGUGUAUGAGGCGAACCCGGGGAACUGAAACAUCUAAGUACCCGGAGGAAAAGAAAUCAACCGAGAUUCCGUUAGUAGCGGCGAGCGAACGCGGACCAGCCCUUAAGCUUCUUUGGUUUUAGUGGAACAGUCUGGAAAGUCUGGCGAUAGUGGGUGAUAGCCCCGUACACGAAAAGGCCAUUGAAGUGAAAUCGAGUAAGGCGGGACACGUGUUAUCCUGUCUGAAUAUGGGGGGACCAUCCUCCAAGGCUAAAUACUCCUUGUCGACCGAUAGUGAACCAGUACCGUGAGGGAAAGGCGAAAAGAACCCCGGAGAGGGGAGUGAAAUAGAACCUGAAACCGUAUGCGUACAAGCAGUGGGAGCACCUUCGUGGUGUGACUGCGUACCUUUUGUAUAAUGGGUCAGCGACUUACUUUCAGUAGCAAGCUUAACCGUGUAGGGGAGGCGUAGGGAAACCGAGUCUUAAUAGGGCGUUUAGUUGCUGGGAGUAGACCCGAAACCGGGCGAUCUAUCCAUGGCCAGGGUGAAGGUGGGGUAAUGCCCACUGGAGGCCCGAACCCACUUAUGUUGAAAAAUGAGGGGAUGAGCUGUGGAUCGGAGUGAAAGGCUAAUCAAGCCCGGAGAUAGCUGGUUCUCCUCGAAAGCUAUUUAGGUAGCGCCUCAUGUAUCACCUGCGGGGGUAGAGCACUGUUUCGGCUAGGGGGCCAUCCCGGCUUACCAACCCGAUGCAAACUCCGAAUACCGUAGAGUGCAAUCAUGGGAGACACACGGCGGGUGCUAACGUCCGUCGUGGAGAGGGAAACAACCCAGACCGCCAGCUAAGGUCCCAAAAUCACAGUUAAGUGGGAAACGAUGUGGGAAGGCACAGACAGCCAGGAGGUUGGCUUAGAAGCAGCCACCCUUUAAAGAAAGCGUAAUAGCUCACUGGUCAAGUCGGCCUGCGCGGAAGAUUUAACGGGGCUCAAACUGUGUACCGAAGCUGCGGAUGCGUGUUUACACGCAUGGUAGAGGAGCGUUCUGUAAGCCUGUGAAGGUGGAUUGAGAAGUCUGCUGGAGGUAUCAGAAGUGCGAAUGCUGACAUGAGUAACGAUAAUGCGGGUGAAAAACCCGCACGCCGAAAGCCCAAGGUUUCCUGCGCAACGCUAAUCGGCGCAGGGUGAGUCGGCCCCUAAGGUGAGGUCGAAAGACGUAAUCGAUGGGAAACAGGUUAAUAUUCCUGUACUUCGUAUAAGUGCGAUGGGAUGACGGAGAAGGCUAGGUCAGCCGGGUGUUGGUUUACCCGGUUUAAGCAAGUAGGGAGUAUCCUUAGGCAAAUCCGGGGAUACAUAUUCCGAGAUGCGAUGACGAGCACCCUUUUAAGGGAGCGAAGUGAUUGAUGCCAUGCUUCCAGGAAAAGUCUCUAAGCUUCAGCUUAUACGAAACCGUACCCCAAACCGACACAGGUGGGCAGGGUGAGAAUCCUAAGGCGCUUGAGAGAACUCGGGUGAAGGAACUAGGCAAAAUGGUACCGUAACUUCGGGAGAAGGUACGCCCCUGGUACGUGAAGAGACUUGCUCUCGGAGCGGAAGGGGGUUGCAGUGACCAGGUGGCUGCGACUGUUUAUUAAAAACACAGCACUCUGCAAAAUCGUAAGAUGACGUAUAGGGUGUGACGCCUGCCCGGUGCCGGAAGGUUAAUUGAUGGGGUUAGUCUUCGGACGAAGCUCUUGAUCGAAGCCCCGGUAAACGGCGGCCGUAACUAUAACGGUCCUAAGGUAGCGAAAUUCCUUGUCGGGUAAGUUCCGACCUGCACGAAUGGCGUAACGAUGGCCACACUGUCUCCACCCGAGACUCAGUGAAAUUGAAUUCGCUGUUAAGAUGCAGCGUUCCCGCGGCUAGACGGAAAGACCCCGUGAACCUUUACUAUAGCUUUACACUGGACUUUGAGUAUGUUUGUGUAGGAUAGGUGGGAGGCUUUGAAACCAGGACGCCAGUUCUGGUGGAGCCAACCUUGAAAUACCACCCUGACAUGCUUGAGGUUCUAACCUAGGCCCGUUAUCCGGGUCGGGGACAGUGUAUGGUGGGUAGUUUGACUGGGGCGGUCUCCUCCCAAAGAGUAACGGAGGAGCACGAAGGUACCCUAAUCCUGGUCGGAAAUCAGGAGUUUAGUGCAAAGGCAUAAGGGUGCUUGACUGCGAGUCAGACACGACGAGCAGGUACGAAAGUAGGUCUUAGUGAUCCGGUGGUUCUGUAUGGAAGGGCCAUCGCUCAACGGAUAAAAGGUACUCCGGGGAUAACAGGCUGAUUCCUCCCAAGAGUUCAUAUCGACGGGGGAGUUUGGCACCUCGAUGUCGGCUCAUCACAUCCUGGGGCUGUAGUCGGUCCCAAGGGUAUGGCUGUUCGCCAUUUAAAGUGGUACGCGAGCUGGGUUUAGAACGUCGUGAGACAGUUCGGUCCCUAUCUGCCGUGGGCGUUAGAAACUUGAAAGGAGCUGCUCCUAGUACGAGAGGACCGGAGUGGACGUACCUCUGGUGUUCCGGUUGUCAUGCCAAUGGCAUUGCCGGGUAGCUAUGUACGGAAGGGAUAACCGCUGAAAGCAUCUAAGCGGGAAGCCCCCCUUAAGAUUAGGUUUCUCUGGGACUUCGAGUCCCCUAAAGGGCCGUUGGAGACUACAACGUUGAUAGGCUGGGUGUGGAAGCGCAGCAAUGUGUGAAGCUAACCAGUACUAAUUGCCCGUGAGGCUUGACUAU